UACAGAGACUGCAAGCGUUAUUCGGAUUCACUGGGCGUAAAGGGCGCGCAGGCGGCUAUCCAAGUCAGGCGUGAAAGCCCCGGGCUUAACCUGGGAGGUGCGUCUGGGACUGGGUGGCUAGAGUUCGGGAGAGGAGAGUGGAAUUCCCAGUGUAGAGGUGAAAUUCGUAGAUAUUGGGAAGAACACCGGUGGCGAAGGCGGCUCUCUGGGACGGUACUGACGCUGAGACGCGAAAGCGUGGGGAGCGAACAGG
rnacentral:rRNA from 1 species